GUUUUGAUAGGUCGAUUAUGUUUGGUGUUUGGUCUGAUUUUGGUUUUCCAUGUUCGGUUAGAUUAUAAGUCAAACGCUGCGUUGAAUAGAUUAAGGUUUCAUUCUUUUCGUUCUUCCAGUCUUCUUUCUCGCCGUCAAGAUUUAAUCUGGAAGCCCAAAGAUUUCUCCUUUCAUAUAUCUCUUAGCCUCCCUUAUCAUUCAACGUAUCUUAAUUUCGCCAAUAAUUAUUAUUCAUAUUUAACUUGGUUACAAUUUCAACCUUUUUGGAUCCUUCAUGUCAAAUCUAUACAUAGGAGAAAUAAGUUCAACGAUGUCGACCUCUCCGUUAUGGUGUCUUAAAAGUUAAUUAUUGCAGGUUCAACACAAUCAGAAAUAUCAAAAGCUUCAUGGAAAUAAUCAAAAGCAGUGGAUCUCAAGGACAUAUGAAUGUGAGUUUCAUCUAAACAUGGAGAUUUGAUUGUAUCCUUUUCGUCUCUUUAGAACUAUAAGUUUUUUUUCUUUCUUGAUCUCGCCUUUUAUUCUUGAUCAUCGUACAUAAUCUCAGCAUCUUUUGGUCUCUUCUCUAAGAUUUGUGUCACUACGAGAAUUCUGUGAUCCACGGUUCCAACUCUAUUGAGCAGGUAACACCAUUCUUUAAACAUACUUUAGUACUCUUAUGUUGUUCCAGAAUAGACUCAACUAAGGUUAGCACUGUUGUCCUCCUCAAAACACAUGAAACUGAUUUUCUUUUCAAGUAUUAGAUUGUGGUCAGAUUUUUUGUGUCCUCCAACAACAUGACUGGUCCAUUGUUUCUUGCACCAGUUUUCCUCACUACUAGCUAUUGCUAACGGAAGGGACAAAAAACAGAGAUGACAAAACUCAUCAAGAAAAAGGCAGCAAGUUUGAUUCUUGAGGAGUUACGUUUUCCUUUCACAAUUCCUCUUAAAAUUUGUAUAUAGUUGUUUCUUUUACUCUGAAGCCCCACAAACCCCCUACAUAAUUUAGAUUAGUAGCGGUGAGAAAAUGGAGCUACCAAAUUGUCCUGAGGAGCUAGCUGGCAAUGGAUAUGUUUUCAAGCUACGUGUGACUCCCUACAGCCUCAGCGUACGUUCACCGUCUCAGCAAUAAGUGAAGCUUCACAUCUUAUUUGGCACUCAGGCAGAGGUAGGAUAAGCAACAGAAUCUGCCAGCAACAUAUAUGAUGCGCCAAAGAUUUCACUGAGACUUGGUGAAGCAAGUCUGCCAGGUUCUGCAGCCGCCAAUAACUAACGCCCCCGUAAGUGAUUCUCGCAAGGCCAUCUAACCGUCAACCCCUCUGUUUCAAUUGUCUAUUUCUACAUGUUUUCUCUGCUUUGAAUUGUGUACUUUGGAUCUCUCUGAUUUGCUGUAAACUAUUUCUUACUGGUGUAAGAAUUACUUUGACUUUAAUAACAAAGGGAGUAACAUGUCUUCACUUAUUAA